rnacentral:rRNA from 1 species
GAAGGCCUUCGGGUUGUAAAGCACUUUCGGCCGGAACGAAAUCGCGCGGGCUAACACCCCGCGUGGAUGACGGUACCGGAAGAAGAAGCACCGGCUAACUACGUGCCAGCAGCCGCGGUAAUACGUAGGGUGCGAGCGUUAAUCGGAAUUACUGGGCGUAAAGUGUGCGCAGGUGGCUGCGCAAGUCGAGUGUGAAAGCCCCGGGCUUAACUUGGGAAUUGCGCUCGAAACUACGUGGCUAGAGUGUGGCAGAGGAAGGUGGAAUUCCACGUGUAGCGGUGAAAUGCGUAGAGAUGUGGAGGAACACCAAUGGCGAAGGCAGCCUUCUGGGCCAACACUGACGCUCAUGCACGAAAGCGUGGGGAGCAAACAGGAUUAGAUACCCUGGUAGUCCACGCCCUAAACGAUGAUGACUAGUUGUUGGGGGAGUUAAAUCCCUUAGUAACGCAGCUAACGCGUGAAGUCAUCCGCCUGGGGAGUACGGUCGCAAGAUUAAAACUCAAAGGAAUUGACGG